GAUCUUUAUAUAUUAAAUAAUUAUACAAUAUUAGUUUAAUUUUUUUUUAAAAUUAUUAAUAUAUUAUAUUGGGGUAAUAAUAAAAUUUUAAAAAUUUUUAUUUUUUAAUAACGAUUAUGAUUGAUUUAUUGAUCCAGUAUUAUUGAUUAUAAAGUUAAGUUACCUUAGGGAUAACAGCGUAAUGAUUUUUGAGAGUUCUUAUCAAUAAAAUAGUUUGU
rnacentral:rRNA from 1 species